rnacentral:rRNA from 1 species
UACGUAGGGUGCGAGCGUUAAUCGGAAUUACUGGGCGUAAAGUGUGCGCAGGCGGCCGCGCAAGUCGAGUGUGAAAUCCCCGAGCUUAACUUGGGAAUUGCGCUCGAAACUACGUGGCUGGAGUGUGGCAGAGGAAGGUGGAAUUCCACGUGUAGCGGUGAAAAUGCGUAGAGAUGUGGAGGAACACCGAUGGCGAAGGCAGCCCUUCUGGGCCAACACUGACGCUCAUGCACGAAAGCGUGGGGAGCAAACAGG